UUCAGUUUGCCCUUCACAUGUUGCUUACAGAGCUCCUAUAUUGUAUUUCUCCCUUUUUUUAGACUCUGAAGUCUUCUCCAUCUUUUUCCAUGCAUCUGUGACAUGGCUCCUCACUUCCUGAGUGGUGAGAGAACCAUGCAAGAGAUAGGAGAAACUUCCACUGCCUGUUUUUGCCCAUGAAAGGAAAAACAGAAAAAGAAGAGCAGCUGAGAAAAAGGCUGUUUGGUAGCAAAAGCUGAACCUACUGUACCGGCCUUGACAGUCAUUUGUUUUGGAGAUCACAUUACAAAACACUGAAGAUCUUUGAAGCGUGAGUUAUCUCCCACAAUGUUUGGUAUAUAAGAAAAUAUCUAGGUUUCAAGUAAAUAGAUCUAAAAGCAGUACAGCUGUGUCUUUUUUUGGGGGGGGG
rnacentral:lncRNA from 1 species